CAAGUACGACAUGAUGACGGCGAAGGGACGGAUUUAAGGUGCGUAACGCACAGGAGAGCGUCACCACGGAUGAGGUUUCAUCCCCGUGGGUGCCAGCCAGUAUCAGGCCGCUUUCGCGAUUGACGGCAGGCGCCGGAAACCAGAUUAGCGGCGCGCCUAGUA
rnacentral:sRNA from 1 species